UGGGGAAUAUUGCACAAUGGGCGGAAGCCUGAUGCAGCGACGCCGCGUGGGGGAUGAAGGCCUUCGGGUUGUAAACUCCUUUCGACAGGGACGAAGCUUUUGUGACGGUACCUGUAUAAGAAGCACCGGCUAACUACGUGCCAGCAGCCGCGGUAAUACGUAGGGUGCGAGCGUUGUCCGGAAUUACUGGGCGUAAAGAGCUCGUAGGUGGUUUGUCGCGUCGUCUGUGAAAUUCCGGGGCUUAACUCCGGGCGUGCAGUCGAUACGGGCUGACUUGAGUGCUGUAGGGGGGGCUGGAAUUCCUGGUGUAGCGGUGGAAUGCGCAGAUAUCAGGAGGAACACCGAUGGCGAAGGCAGGUCUCUGGGCAGUAACUGACGCUGAGGAGCGAAAGCAUGGGUAGCGAACAGG
rnacentral:rRNA from 1 species